AUGUAUAUGAAAUUGGGAAUUAAGAUACCAUAUUGGAGUUUAGCAUGUGAUUAUGUUCAAAAAAGAUUUGGUGGCAGCAAUGAGAUCGAAGUGAACUUCUGUCAGCAUUUGGGGACAAUGAGAAGGGACACCCUGAGAAGACUUUUGAGUUCAUGGUCUUUCCCACCAUUUCCUGGAGCUAUUGGUGGGCCAAGCCUAACUGGGACAGAAGCAUACCGAGGGCUGGCUCCGGGAGGCAAUGUUCUGCGGCACCGUGACCUUGGCUCAGCAAUAGCAGCUGUGGAGUGGGCCUGAGGGUGGCAGUAGCAGCCAGGAAGCGCAUUACACCUGUCCCAACCUCAAG
rnacentral:lncRNA from 12 species